rnacentral:lncRNA from 1 species
AAUCUGAUGCUUAUGGCUGUAUGUGCAAUAUUACUAUGAAUUAUAUAUGGAUCUUGAUAAUCCAUUUACAACUUACCUCGAUGCUAUAAAUAUCAUGCACGGCCACCUUUUUCUCCUUUCCAAGAUUUUGUUUGAAAAGUCAAAGAUUUAAGUCAUCUUUUAUCCAGAGUUGAUUUCCAAGUUUUUAUUUUUCUUACGGAAGCUUCCGAAGUCUUACUCGUAAUGCCGCCAUCCGAGUAGGUGGAUGGUUCAUAUUGCAUAGUUCAGAGACAUGAAGUGCCCUUCAUGUGGGUCCUCCUAUCAUAUAUUUAUAUGCAUGUAUAUAUAAGAUAUGGAAGAAGAAUAUAAAGAUAAUUGAUUUAUGACAUGUUGUCUGACGAUCGACUGCUGAAUUCUUGGUUUGUGUUUGGCCUUUGUGCAGAUAUCUGGUGGCUGCGCUUUCGGUCACUGGUUUGUACAGCAUCAUCACCAUGUUGGUUUCCUUGUUUUCCAUCGCAAGCCCCUCUCCAUCACCAAAGACGCUGUUCCUUCUCAUCCUCUUCGACACGGUAGACUAACUAACUUUAGUUUGUGGUGGUGUUGGAUCCAUAUCGACCACUUGGAUAUAAACUUUUAUAUGGUGACAUGAAGCAGCCAUGUAUGACGACGUUGCUUCUCUUUUGACAGCUGAUGGCCGGAGUGAUGGCUUCAGCCACCGGCAACGCGGGAUCCGUCGCCUACAUAGGUCUGAAGGGCAACUCUCAUGUGAAUUGGAACAAGAUCUGCAACAUGUAUGGGAAGUUCUGCCGGCACGUAGGCAGCUCCACGGCCGUCUCCCUCAUCGCCUCCAUCGUCCUCGUCUUGCUCGUCGUGCUCUCCUCCUAUUCUCUCUACCGUCGCAGUCGCUAAUGAUAGUUAACGCGUCCACCUUCUCUCUUUAGCAGGUAGAGUUUGGUGUCACGUUUAGUGGUGUGUAAUCCAUUCACAUGGUCUUGUCGCCGUCGUCGUCGUUCGUCUUGU